UACAGAGACCUCAAGCGUUAUCCGGAUUUAUUGGGCGUAAAGCGUCCGCAGGUGGUUCGUUAAGUCGUUGGUCAAAUCCCGGGGCUCAACCCCGGAACUGCCAACGAUACUGGCGAACUUGAGACCGGCAGAGGCAAGCGGAAUUACAGGUGUAGCGGUAAAAUGCGUUUAUAUCUGUAAGAACACCAAAGGCGAAAGCAGCUUGCUGGAACGGUUCUGACACUCAUGGACGAAAGCGUGGGGAGCGAAAAGG
rnacentral:rRNA from 1 species